CCUUAACACAUGCAAGUCGAACGAUGAGGGCCCAGCUUGCUGGGUCUGAUUAGUGGCGAACGGGUGAGUAACACGUGAGCAACCUGCCCCUGACUUCGGGAUAACCUCGGGAAAUCGUGGCUAAUACCGGAUAUGACGCCCUGCCGCAUGGUGGGGUGUGGAAAGACUGUGUCGGUUGGGGAUGGGCUCGCGGCCUAUCAGCUUGUUGGUGGGGUGAUGGCCUACCAAGGCAGACGACGGGUAAGCCGGCCCUGAGAGGGUAGACCGGGCCACCACUGGGAUCUGAGNACACGGCCCACGACUCCCCUACGGGAGGCAGCAGUCNGGGGAAUAUUGGCACUAAUGGGCGCAAGCCCCUGAAUGCAGCGACGCACAGGCGUGAGGAGAUGACAGGCCUUCGGGNUUGUAAACCUCUUUCAGCAGGGGAGAAGGCCUUCGGGUUGACGGUACCUGCAGNAGNAGCGCCGGCU
rnacentral:rRNA from 2 species